ensembl:lncRNA
GCUUUAUUGUUUAAAAUACUUCUAUGCUAUUAGUCACUUCUGCAAUAAUAAGACACAUCAUACAUAUUCCUGCAUCAGUUACUGUUACUUGACAGGCAUUAUCUUAUGCUGCUGCUUCUUUCUUAAUAUAGUUUUCUUACAUUGACACCGUAUUAGGUGCUAUACAUCCGGUUUCCUUUUGACAGUCUAACCUUUGUAGCCCUAAAAGGUUAAAGCUUCAUAUUCGAUCAAGGUGACUCUUGUCUGAAUAUGAAUUAUUUGAAAAUGUAUUGUACAAUUUGUACUGGUUACACAUAACUUCGACUGCUGGGAUUAUUUGCUGGCAGACAUGUAGGUGAUUGAUUACUCUCCUGCUGCCAUGUGCAUUCUGGAAGUAGUAGUGUUGCUUACGUCUGUCCCUGUAAUAGCUGACCAAGCUGAAGUUCUCGGAGCUGGUUGGCACUUUUUUGGUGUCUGGUAGCCAUAGUACUUAAAUCUCUAGUAGAAAAAGAAAAUCUUUAUUUUUGUCCACAAGAAGUCCCAGCUACGUAUCCUUAUGUGGAGCUGGUUUGCUGUUUCUAGUAUCAGCUAGUCCUCUGAGGGACUCCAGGACUGCUCUUAACAGCUGUAUGUAGUCUUCCUGUUGAUGGCUAAAAUGCUGUCAUUUUUAUGAGGGCAGGCAUGGAACACGUGAGAAAGGAGAUGGGGAGAAUAUGCUUUUCUGAACUUUCUGGGUACAGCAGUUUUUAAGUCCUUGGGUUAUGCAGACAUCUAGAGAUGCCCAAAACUAUUUUUCCAGUUGGUUAGAGUUAUCCUGGCUAAAACCUAGCAAAUAAAGGUGCCUUUUUCCUCCUAUAUCAAAUUAACUGGAGAAGAUGAUUUUCUACUAGGUCUGGCCUGAGCAUACUGUCAUUUUUCUGUGCUAACUUCUGUUUAAAAAUAUGCAUUAUUAUGUGUCAGUCUUUGAGCUUGAUCAACAUUUUUAAAUACUAAAUAAACUUGAUGGCUGCUAUAAAAACCACUUACUUGUUCUACCCAACUCCUUUAGAGAGGGAAGGCCAGACCUGCUUCCAGCAUCUUCACAGACUAAAACCUCUGCAUGGGCUGGAUGCUAGUCAUGGAAUUUCAUGGUCUGAAAACAGUACAAAGCAUUCUGCUGCAGAGCAAGAAUCUUUUUGCCCAGCAGAUUUACCAGUACUAAGGAGGAGGGUUUCACAGCCCGCGUUCUCCCUCUGCAGUACUUCAUGGCUAUUUUCUUGCCCUGAAGCCAGAUAUUCUGAAAGGCUCCAUUUAGCAUGGACCGGAACAAGCAGCACUACUGUCCUGGAAAUGUUUCCCUCCCCUACCACCUUCAACUACUGAAAUUCCCAGAAGGGCUUCUAAAUAUUUUUUCCCUAAACUUGCCUAAACAGCUUUGGACUCCACUGUCCUUUUCUCCAUUAGGGAGCUGUGGAGUUGUACCCAGCAGUGCUGGGGUUCUCACCGUAAGCCACUGGCGUGGGUUUUCUUGCCUAUUACACAAUGCUUUCUGCUGCAUUUCAUAGCUAUUUCAUUAAUAUGGAAGAGAUUCAAUUAGUAUUUUGAGAUACAAAUUAUCAUCAAGAUGACAAUUGAAAUCUUAAAAUCUUCUGGUCUAUUCAAGCUAUUAUGAUAUGAUGCUGGCAUGAGACUUUUUGGAAAUAGAUAUGAAGUUUAACUAGUUAGUUUUGUUUUCCUUGCCUACAAUAUUACCCUAAGACAUGUAAUAUUGCUGUUUGUACUUGUAUUAUUCUUUGUAGCAGGGCCACAGCUCUGAAGUGGAUAUAAUCAGAGCAGCAAAACAAAAUCUAGUUUUAGUUUGUCUUGUUUUACCUUUGAAAAUCUUUCAGAUUUCAGUAAGGCCGAAGCAGUAGGUAGAGUAUAGAGCAUGGGGGAGGGAAAAGUUGGCAGAAGUGAAAGCAUAAGCAGUGUUGGAAACUGAUCUGUGUUCCAACUAAGCUGGGGAGGGAAAGCUGUGUGUUUUGCUUAGUUUUUUGUUUGUUUGUUCGUUUGUUUGUUUUCCUUACUCAGAUCAGUUCUCUCCCGCAGGUGGCUGUGUGGCAUGAGUUCAAAUACUGGAACAACUAAGGAUGUAGCUAUGGGGCUGGAGGAGCGUAAAACUCUGCUUAAGCUGGUACUGCUGCUGAGGAAAGGCUUAUCCCACUGCUCACUAAAGUAAUAUAACACAUUAAAGUGGGAAUAAUGCAAAAGAGCUUAAAAGUUACAUAUUGGGUUGUUGUGGGGUGAGUCUGAUAACAGCACUGGCCUGUCAGAAAGUGCAGUUUGGAUAAACAGCUAAAUAAAUAGCAAACAGGGUGGUUCUGUAAGGGACAGUCAUCACCUGAAAAUAGACAAAAUUGACUCAGAGUAUGGCUUUGUGUUGUGCUUAAUUUAGUUUAACUGGGGGAUACUUCCACUAGAGGCUGUUUCACCAAUUCUCUUGCACAGAAUCUAGGGGUUGGUUUGUUGAACAGAAUCUAGGUUGGUUGUGCAGUUUUGUGAUGGAUUCCUUCCAUUUGCUGAGCCACUGAAAGGACAAUUAAUUUUGUUUUCUAGUUUGUCCUCCCUAACAGUAAUCUCAAACUUGGCUUCUGCCUAUGUGAGAUCAGAUGGAAGGGAAGGGUGAGAACAGAUCACAUCAUCUAGCAGUAGCCUGCAGUCAAGAAAGAUUGAACCAGCACAAAAUUGCAAUUCAGUGUUCAGGGACAUCUGGGAAACAACCAAAACAAGCAUAGCCUUUAGUUUUCCUUCAUUUGCUCUGGUUCUUAAUCUCUUUUUCACUUUUUAAAGUAUAUCAAAUGUGUCAGCUAACAGAAGUUUCUCUCCAUAAUCCCAUUUGUUGUUAAAGGAGCAUCUCAAUUGUUCUGCCUAGGAAGCCCCUUAAGGUUCUCAGUGCUUUCUUCUCUGGGAAAUAUUGUGCUUGAGGUUAAAUACAAAUAUAGAUCUCACAGUGAAAUGAAACUUCCCAGAUGGUUGUCAAGUGGAUAAAUGACAAGCAUCACUUUUAGUGCCUCCCAUUGUGCAUUUAUUGAUGUGUUUAUAAGUCACUAAAGCAAUAGCUGAAGUCCAGGCUUCCUUGGUUAUUUAAAGCCCCGUGCAUACUUUAAAUCUUCGGUAAGAUGUGAUAUUUGCUUUGUUCCCUGUUGUCAUUAAUCAGAUGUUCCAGUACUCGUGGUGGCUGCAUGUGCUCCAUCAACAGCUGUGGUUGAUGUUGAAGCUGCCUUGUAUUUCGGGAUUCUGUUUUCUCUCUAUGGGAUGGUAACGCAGAGCUAGUGACAUUUAUAAGGAGCAAUGACAACAUCCAGUGGCUGCACUAUGGAAUCACAUGUAUGUUAGGUUAGUCCACAGGAUGCAAUUUCGUACCAGGAAGACAUCAGUCAAUGCUGGCUAUGUUAUCUAUCAACUUAAAUGUGACCCCUGUGCUAAUACCCACUUCCACAAAGGGGCAGCUGGCAUUGUGGUAGGGAGCUGACCAGGUCCAUGAAAUGCUUUGAUUUGUCUAAUUCAAGUUGAAGAGUUAAACAAAAAAGCCCAAAUGGGCACAUGUAGGUCCAUGGAAGAAGAGGCCAUACUGCACAGGCACUUUUCCUGGGGAAAGUUCAUGUGAAGGGCAGCUUGCAGUAUUCCCGGCAGGAGGGUGUUCAAAAGCUUUCCUAAUUUUUGGCACAAUGUAUUCCUGGCUUAAAGCCCUGUAAUUAAGGCCCUGUGGUUAUGCUGCCCAGAGCUUGCUUACACAAUGGAUGUGAACCAGUCUAAGACCUGGCUGCACAGUCCCACCUUUCCUCUCCCUCAGCCGCAGGGCCUCACCCUCUGUUGCAUCACAGAAUUGUAGCUGCAGGAGAAGCCAUUCCUGUUGCCCAACUGCCAGGAACUAAUGGUUUGUUUCCAAGGUUAAAUUGUUCAGGGACUCUGUGCCGACCCAAAUCACUGCUUGCCUGCAAAGGCAGGGGUGGAUGUUGAGGCAAGAGACAGGGAAGGCUGGGGGAAGUACGAGCUAGGACAUCUCCUUCACUGGCAGUUUGUGCUGCUCAGGGAACGGUAUCCUGUCUGUCAGGCUGCUUUGGUCAGGUUUCCUGACGCUGCUGUUCCCUGAGCACUUCCACAUUCCUCAGAGUCCUGCUCUGUUGGGGGAACUGAUGCUAUAUUUUUUAUUUUUUACUUUUUUCUUUAACC